GAAUCCGCCAAGGAGUGUGUAACAACUCACCUGCCGAAUGAAUUAGCCCUGAAAAUGGAUGGCGCUGAAGCGGGUAGCCGACACCACGCCGUCUGGACAAAGUGGUUUUUUCAGAUGAGUAGGAGGGCGUGGCGGUUGUAUCGAAGCGUGGAUGCGAAUCUGCGUGGAACAGCCGCUAGUGCAGAUCUUGGUGGUAGUAGCAAAUAUUCAAGCGAGAUCCUUGAAGGGCGAAGCGGGGAAGGGUUCCACGCGAACAUUGAUUGGGCGUGGGUGAGUCGUUCCUAAGCCGCGUGGCAAUAGCUAAUUACCGGCGAAAGGGAAGCAGGUUGACAUUCCUGCACACGGAUGUGGAGACGGCGACGAUACGUGAGGCGAUCACGCUGGCGGUGGCGCUGGGCAGAGUUGUCUUUUCUGUUUGACCAUUGAAUACUUGCUGUGUGGAAUCCGCUUGUCGGGAGAAACACGCAGGUACGGGCAGAGCGCCGGGGCUUUUCCGGCGUCCAGCUCGCCACCGACGGCCCUUGAAAAAUUGCCUGCUGGACAACAUUUCGGUGUUGUGAGAUCCACGCCGUGGCGUACCGAUAACCGCAUCAGGUCCCCAAGGUGAACAGCCUCUGCUCAGUAUGAACAAUGCAGGUAAGGGAAGUCGGCA
rnacentral:rRNA from 1 species